ACAGUCCCACCACGACCAUGGAACAUUGUAAGCUUCACACCAAAUUGUUUAGCCACCUUUAUAAGCUCCUCUUGAGCCUUAUAUAACUGCCAGGCCGCAGAGAGUCUUCCAGCAUCUUUACCAGAAUCUGAGUAACCAAUCAUGACUUCUUGCUUUCCAUUGAUGCGGUUUCUGUACCACUCUACUGAAAAGAGCCGAGCCAAAGCAGCAGGAGCAGCCUCCAGAUCUGCAAGCUUCUCAAACAGAGGAACCACUCUCAAUGGCUGCUUCACAUGACAUUCACGUUGCAGGAGCUCAACAGCAAGCACAUCUGACGGAGCAGUUGCCAUAGAAAUGAUGUAUGCUCCAAAGUUAUCUGCAGGGAGUUCUGCUAAAACAUGUAAAGUGUCCAACACAUCAGCAAUUUCCUCAGUUUUUGGAAGAUCAGGCCCAAACAGUGGGCGCUUUCCACUGAGUUCAGAUAAAAGCCACUCUUGUCGGCGUUCUUCAGACCACUCCCGAUAGGAGCCAAUUUCCAAGUGCUUGGUGAUGGCAUCUAUGACAUCAGUGUGACGGUCUGAUUCUUGCCUAAUGUCAAGCCUCACCAGUGAAAGUCCGAAGGUGGAAACUUGCCUCAAGAAAUCAAGGAGGCUUCCAUCAGCAAUUGGCCGGUCACCACAAGAGCAGAGUGAUCUAUAACACAGUUCAAGAGGUUCCAAGAACUGCUCAACAUUAGUGAAAGUUCCCUCCUCUGGGAUAUCCGAAAUCCCAUGGGAUAGUAAUUGACGAGAUCGCUCACGUGUCUGAUACAGCUUAUCCCUCAAGUCACCAAGAAUCACACGAUAGGGUUCACUUGGGGGGAUUUGUUUCCAAAACUCUAUGUAAUGUUUUGCAUCUCUCUUUGAGGAUCUGUGGAGUUCAUCUGCACGAACGCGAAGUUCAUCACUGCAUCGCCACAUGGACAACUGAAACAUAAGAUUCUCAAUCUGGGAAUAGUAUAGAUUAGCUGCCAUCAUUCUAGCCAAUAAGCAAACAUCCCUCGUGACCUCAGGAGUAACCCUUGGAUUACCAUCACGAUCACCACCCAUCCAAGAAGAAAAUUGAAUAAGUGGAGCAUUGUAAGGAANGGGAACUCUUUCAUCAAUCCCUAUGUUCUUCAAAGCCGUGUCAACACGACGCAAGAACCUUGGGACACCCUUCCAGAUUGUCUCAUGGAAAUAACUCAUUCCUGCCC
rnacentral:misc_RNA from 1 species